AGAGUUUGAUCAUGGCUCAGAUUGAACGCUGGCGGCAUGCUUUACACAUGCAAGUCGAGCGGCAGCGCGGGGGCAACUCUGGCGGCGAGCGGCGGACGGGUGAGUAAUGCAUCGGAACGUAUCCCGUAGUGGGGGACAACCCAGCGAAAGCUGGGCUAAUACCGCAUAUGCUCUACGGAGGAAAGUGGGGGACCUGUAAGGGCCUCACGCUAUGGGAGCGGCCGAUGUCCGAUUAGCUAGUUGGUGGGGUAAAGGCUCACCAAGGCGACGAUCGGUAGCUGGUCUGAGAGGAUGAUCAGCCACACUGGGACUGA
rnacentral:rRNA from 1 species